rnacentral:rRNA from 1 species
UACGUAGGGGGCAAGCGUUGUCCGGAAUCAUUGGGCGUAAAGAGCGCGUAGGCGGCCCUGUAAGUCCGCUGUGAAAGUCAAGGGCUCAACCCUUGAAUGCCGGUGGAUACUGCAGGGCUAGAGUCCGGAAGAGGAGAGUGGAAUUCCCGGUGUAGCGGUGAAAUGCGCAGAUAUCGGGAAGAACACCCGUGGCUAAGGCGGCUCGCUGGGACGGUACUGACGCUGAGACGCGAAAGCGUGGGGAGCAAACAGG